rnacentral:misc_RNA from 1 species
UACAGAGGCCCCAAACGUUGCGCGGAAUCACUGGGCUUAAAGGGUGCGUAGGCGGACCCGCAAGUGCUUUGUGAAAUCCCACGGCUUAACCGUGGAAUAGCUUGGCAUACUGCGGGCCUUGAGGUCGGCAGAGGCCGCUGGAACUCUAGGUGUAGCGGUGAAAUGCGUAGAUAUCUAGAGGAACGCCAAAGGUGAAGACAGGCGGCUGGGCCGAUUCUGACGCUGAGGCACGAAAGCGUGGGUAGCGAACGGG